UACGUAGGGGGCAAGCGUUGUCCGGAAUCAUUGGGCGUAAAGCGCGUGUAGGCGGCCAGGUAAGUCCGUUCUGAAAGCCCGGGGCUCAACCCCGGGAGGCGGAUGGAUACUGCUUGGCUCGAGUCCGGAAGAGGUGAGUGGAAUUCCCGGUGUAGAGGUGAAAUUCGUAGAUAUCGGGAGGAACACCGGUGGCGAAGGCGGCGAUCUGGGUCGAUACUGACGCUGAGGUGCGAAAGCGUGGGGAGCAAACAGG
rnacentral:rRNA from 1 species